rnacentral:rRNA from 1 species
GAUGAACGCUGGAGGCGUGCUUAACACAUGCGAGUCGAACGGGAAUUAUUUUAUUGAAACUUCGGUCGAUUUAAUUUAAUUCUAGUGGCGAACGGGUGAGUAACGCGUGGGUAACCUGCCUUAUACAGGGGGAUAACAGUCAGAAAUGGCUGCUAAUACCGCAUAAGCGCACAGAGCUGCAUGGCUCAGUGUGAAAAACUCCGGUGGUAUAAGAUGGACCCGCGUUGGAUUAGCUGGUUGGUGGGGUAACGGCCCACCAAGGCGACGAUCCAUAGCCGGCCUGAGAGGGUGAACGGCCACAUUGGGACUGAGACACGGCCCAGACUCCUACGGGAGGCAGCAGUGGGGAAUAUUGCACAAUGGGGGAAACCCUGAUGCAGCGACGCCGCGUGAAGGAAGAAGUAUCUCGGUAUGUAAACUUCUAUCAGCAGGGAAGAUAGUGACGGUACCUGACUAAGAAGCCCCGGCUAACUACGUG